AUUAUUCUUUGCCUAAUAGUCUAAGAUACGAACUAGACAUCAUGAUAUAUGAUAUUCAUCUAUCUGCUUAAUGGAUAAAAAUGAAUUAGUUAUCUUCUUUAGUAUGCUAAAGAUAAAUUGCAAAAAGAUUGGCUGAAAAACUCCUGGCCAGGUCUUGCAUUCAACAAUUGCCAUUCAAACCGGACUUUUAUCAGGCAAUCCUAUAUCAUCGUAUUCACAAUGAAGCGCCGCUCAUUUUAAUGCUUACAUCAAUUAAUUUGCAACUAGAACAAUUUAUAUAUAUCUGUUUACACCUACCACCCAGUAGUUACGACAGGAAAAUAAUAGACAACCCAAUGUUUUCUACGGGCACGCACUUUUCUACAUACUUUCGGUAGGUAUUAAAUGUAUUAUUUAAACUCAUAGGUACAUUUUAAUAUAAAAAAAAUAUAAUAAAAUAUAGCCUAAACUGCAUUUUUCAAAAAACCCUUUC
rnacentral:misc_RNA from 1 species